ACUGGCCUAUGGAGAUGGAAUGUCGUUUACCUCCUUGCCUGCAGAAACAAGACUGCAACUGGGAGCUUUUCCGCUCUUAAAUGAAUUUUCAUGUGUGUCCCAGGUAUUUUUCCAUAUCCCAUACACACAGCACAUGAACAGCAGUGACGGAGAAGAAAGAAAAAGCAGAGUUCUAAGCUGGAAUGCAGGAAACCCAGAAGCUGGCAGGCGACUGCACUACUUUCAUGAUGUAUUUUGGAACUAAGAUGGAGAGACAAAGCAAAAGACAGAAAGAGAGAAGAAAUGGAAGGCUGCGGGUCAGACUCGGGACCAUCGUAGCCCAGCUCGUUGGCAAUGGGGAAGUGAGCCCAGAAGGUGCGAGCCAGGUCCUGC